rnacentral:rRNA from 1 species
AUGAUAAGCAUGCAUGUCUAAGUAUAAACAAUUUUGUACUGUGCAACUGACGAUGCUCAUAAAUCAGUCAUAGUUAUUGAUGGUACGUGCUACAUGGAUAGCUGUGUAGUCUAGAGCUAAUACAUGCAAUCAAGCCCCCGACUUCCUGCGAGGAGGGUGUAGUUAAUUAGAUGAAAAAACCAACAAUGCUUCGCCGCUCCAUUGGUGAUUCAUAAUAACUUCUCGAAUCGCACGGCCUUGCGCGGCGAUGCUUCAUUCAAAUAUCUGCCCUAUCAACUUUCGAUGGUAGGAUAGAGGCUUACCAUGGUUUCAACGGGUAACGGGGAAUAAGGGUUCGAUUCCGGAGAGGGAGCUUGAGAAACGGCUACCACAUCCAAGGAAGGCAGCAGGCGCGCAAAUUACCCAAUCCCGCCACGGGGAGGUAGUGCCAAUAAAUAACAAUAUGGGGUUCUUUCGGUUCUCAUAAUUGGAAUGAGUCCAAUUUAAAUCUCUUAACGAGGACCAAUUGGAGGGCAAGUUUGGUGCCAGCAGCCGCGGUAAUUCCAGUUCCAAUAGCGUAUAUUAAAGUUGUUGCAGUUAAAAAGUUGGUAGUUGAACUUCAGACCUGGCCGGGCGGUCUGCCUAACGGUAUGUACUGUCUGGCUGGGUCUUACCUUUUGGUGAGCCGGCAUGCCCUUUAUUGGGUGCGUCGGGGAACCAGGACUUUUACCUUGAGAAAAUUAGAGUGUUCAAAGCAGCCUUAUGCCUGAAUACAUUAGCAUGGAAUAAUAAAAUAGGACGUGCGGUUUUAUUUUGUUGGUUUUUAGAGUCGCCUUAAUGAUUAAUAGGGAUAGUGGGGGGCACUAGUAUUCAGUUGCUAGAGGGGAAAUUCUUGGAUUUACUGAAGAUUAAUUACUGGGAAACCAUUUGCCAAGGAUGUUUUCAUUAAUCAAGAACGAAGGUUAGGGGAUCGAAAACGAUCAGAUACCGUUGUAGUCUUAACCGUAAACUAUGCCGACUAGGGAUCGGGCGACCUCAAUCUUAUGUGUCCCUCGGCACCUUACGAGAAAUCAAAGUCUUGGGUCUGGGGGAGUAUGCCACC